rnacentral:rRNA from 1 species
AACAAACGCUGGCGGCGUGCCUAACACAUGCAAGUCGUACGAGAAAGUCGGCUUCGGCCGAUGAGUACAGUGGCGCACGGGUGAGUAGCGCGUGGGUAAUCUGCCCCCCGGUCAGGAAUAACCCGCCGAAAGGCGGGCUAAUACCCGAUAACACUGACGCUCCGCGGAGCGUCUUUCAAAGAAGGCCUCUGUUUACAAGCUUUCGCUUCAGGAUGAGUCCGCGUACCAUUAGCUUGUUGGUGGGGUAAUGGCCUACCAAGGCUGCGAUGGUUAGCUGGUCUGAGAGGAUGAUCAGCCACACUGGAACUGAGACACGGUCCAGACUCCUACGGGAGGCAGCAGUGGGGAAUUUUGGACAAUGGGCGAAAGCCUGAUCCAGCGAUGCCGCGUGGGUGAAGAAGGCCUGCGGGUUGUAAAGCCCUUUCGAUGGGAAAGAAAAGCCUGGAGCUAAUACCUCCGGGUCUUGACGUUACCCAGAGAAGAAGCACCGGCUAACUCCGUG